UGCCUCUUUUUCUCUCUCUCUCUUGCAGUUGUUGCAAUCUCAGGAUGUGAAAGAAGACGCUGUCCUUUGCUGUUCCAUGGAGCUGCAAAGCACAGGCCGGCUGCUGGAGGACCAGCUGCCUGAGAUGAUGACAGAGCUGCUGGCAAUAGCACGUGACAAGAUGCUAUGCCCCUCGGAGUCCAUGCUGACACGGUCCCUCCUCCUCGAGGUCAUUGAGCUGCAUGCCAACAACUGGAACCCCCUGACGCCCAUCAUCACACAGUACUACAACAAGACAAUCCAGAAACUGACAGCCUGAGAACGUGGGGCGGUGGGGAUAGAAGGGAGCAGGAAGAAGACAUGCACCUUAAAAGGAAACAGGAAGGAACUGUGCUACAAAUUGAUCAGCUACUGGAGAGAGAAGCAAGAACCUUUAUGAGAAAAUACCUAAGAAGACAAACCCCAGCAUGCUUAAGAAUAUGUUCAUGAGGUUGGGGGGCAAGGGAGCAUGUUUCUUUUCAGCUGCGUUGCGGAGCACCACCCUUCUUUCCUGCUGAGUUUUUGUUUCAGGUUUCUUUUAUUAAAUCAUUGCUCAUGCAGCUGCGCAUCCCGCCGUGUUAUUGUUUGGCUUUAGAAAGAACACGGAGAAUUUGAAAAGCAAGUGGAAGUGCAGGCUAGCAUUGUUUUCACGCCAUUCUCUUGGCUUGCACCAGCCAACUGGCAGGAGACAACACACAGCAGAUGUCUUGGGAGGACAAAGAAAGACACGUUCCACACCAGACGCCGGUAACUGACAGCUUUUGUCAAAGCGAAGCUUUUAUUAUUUUUUUCCCCUCCUCUUGUCUUCAACUUUUUAUUCUCCCCCCGAUCCUCCCUCCGCAAAAUCCCCACGAAACACCUGAUUCUAGGUUAGGAUUUCACACAAGAUGAUUUAUUUAUUUGCACUGGGUUUUCAUUUUUCUUUGUUGUUGUUUUAUUAGGUUUUUUUAAACGGACAUUUGCUAUCAACUUUGAAACAUGAAAAUAACAUUAUAAUGUGAGCGCUUGAAUGGUUGGCACGAGGGUGUUAAAUUGGAAGAAGAAGUUAAAAAAAAAUCCAAAAGCCACUUUAGAAGUAUCAUAGCCACAGUCUUCUUGCCAGUAACCUAUCAAGGUAAUUGAAAAAAUGUACACUCUGCGCUGGUAACUCUAAGAAACACAGGCAUUCUGCAGCUGUUUGCUACUAACGACGCAGUAUUCCUCAUCCACUAAACUAUAAUCCAUUUAUUUUUUGUAACUUACUUUGUUUGUUUGUUUAAAGAGUGCUUUAUUGUAAUUACUGUCACAGUUGUAAUUAUACAUUUAAACCAGGUCCCUUAUGCUUGGUCCUAAUAAUAGACAAGGUGAGGGAAAAAUUAAGACUUGAAGUUCUUCUUUGGAAACCAGUAAACAGAAGGUGACAAGUAUAUGGCAUGGGAAAGGAAAAAAGAAAAGCCGAAAAUAUAGCUUUCAGGUUUGGCUUCUAAUUAGCUAAACUUUCCUAACCAGUGUGUCUCAGUUUGCAUUGCAUAGACGUGGAACUCAGAAGGUGGCUGUCCCUGUCUUUUUUAUUUGUCAGCAUAGUCUGUUUAGUCAGUGUAACUAAUACAGCCUCUGAUAUAGAGGAGGGUCAGGGUGGGUUGUUUCGUUCCACUAAAGAGGAGAGCAAUGUGAAUGGCUAGAGAUGGAGUUAGAGGUAGUACAAGAAGGAAGCCACAAUACACCUCACUGGCCUUACCCGCGUAACCCACUGGUGCAUAUGUGUUACAAUUCCCAUUCUGUGUCCAAUUCACAGAGGAUAUGAGUCUGUUACAGCCCCAGCUAGGGACUUUCAGCUGAAACGGUAACAGCUCAUGCUUUUAGCUUUGGCCGUCUCUGGUUCAAUCCCUGGUGGGUCAGACAAGAUGGCAGCUGUCACGCAGUGGAAGCUUGUCUGGAAUUCAAACUGCUGUGGGCCUCAGACACUGAGGAUAAGCUUCCUUGGAUCCGAGGAAGGACAUAACUCACUGGUGAGCAUGUGUUACAGGUCCUCAGCCUCCAUGCCCAGUGCACAGAGAGAUGAAUCUGUUACAGCCCCAGCUAGAGAGAUUUGAUUCUUUAGUGCAGGCUGUCGCAGCUCAUGCUUUUUAAGCUCUGGAGGUGCCCAGUUCAAUCUCCAGUGUGUUGGCAAAGGCAGCAGCCAUCACAUCUACUUGUCCCAUCAUAUUUAACACUAGUGCAGUUUCACUGGUGUUAGAAACAUUGGGAGCCCUUUAUAGAGAGGCUGCUGACAGCAAUUUAAGUACUGUGUUCUCUAGACCUGAUCUAAGCAGGAUUAGGUGAUAUACGUGCUUAAAAACCCUAGUGCUCCGUCUACUCUAGGGUUCUACACAAUGGUCACAUCGGUGAAGCUGAAGUGGUGUUGGCAAUGCUGAGAAGUGUUUGCAGAAUGCCCCUAGGGCAGAUCAAUCUAGCAUGAGAGGUGAAGCCAGUGACUUGACUUGAUUAGGGAAGAAGGUGAGCUGUUAAGUGUGUGACGUGCUUUUAGACUGAGAUGGAGCCGUGUCAGUCGUAAAACAAGUAUUAGUUUUGAAGCACAUGCAAGUUUGGCAGAGAAACCGCAGCUUCCAAGCAUAUGGUACAUUUAAUUUUUAAAGUAUCUGUUCUGUAGCAAGUCUGUAAUUCUUGAGAAGAGCAAAGCUGCCCACCAAACCCUUCCUUAAGGGCCAGUCCCAUAGGACACAUGGCUUUAAUUCCCAAUGAUGCCAGGAGGAUGUGUGGGUGCUCAUCAACUUGCAGGGCUAGGGCUUUAAUGUAUAAUAUAAGGCAAGAAAUUUAUGAGAGAUCCACGUAAACACAAUAUUUACCAUUUGGGGUGUGAGUAACAUUAACCAGAUUUAUGGAUCCUGUUGACUAACUUCAGUUUCUUUUUUGGAAAAGGAGAUCUGUUCCAGCCCCGUAUUUGAAACAUGCUUUGAAGUUACUUAUUUCAGUAACUUUGUAUUGAUAAAGAGGGAUGGGCAGGCCAUUACUUCACUUCCCUUACAGUGACCAGGAAAUGAUGUCAUGGCUUAGCGGUUGCUUCUUUAUUGAUGCUUUUAUUUACUACAUCACUUCUAGUGCUUACUUGAUGAAGUCUAACAGAAUUAGGGGGUGGAAAUUUCCCUUUAUUUGUUCAGCACUUAUUAUAAUGGAAGAUUAGAGAAGGAAGAGACAGUACAAACCCUCCCUCCAGGCACCUGUGAUCUGAGCAUAGCUGCCAAUGUUGGGUGAAUCUAACCAUUAAGAGAUUAAUAUCUGCGUUAUUUCAUUAUUGCAACAGGUCUCAGAAACUCAUUUGGAAAAUCUGUUUUGGUGUUUGUAACACUCACAAGCUGUUUUCCAAAAGUCAGUUUGUGAUUAGGGCGCUACUGAUCAGUGCUUAUAAUGUGGGAGGAUGAUAUAUUCCAAUUUUUUCUUCGCUUUUCUCCUGUUGUUCAGUUUUCUUCCCUUUCCCCUGAUAGUAAGAAGUAUGGAUUCGGCAACCCACCUCUGGCGCCAUGAAACUGGAGUGUAGCUCCUGAUUAAACAUGAGACCCAAACACAAACCCCCAGAUACAAAUACCCACCCACCCUGAGGCAAUACAGAUCUGGAUCUGAACUCUACAACUUAGACCAGUAGAUUGAAUUUCUGCCUGCUUGUUGACAAGAACAAAGAUUCAAUCCAGAUCUUUUUUGGAUGUUCAGUAUAAGAGAGAACCAGAUUUCUCCGUUACUUGGGGGAAAAUUAUUUGCAGGAAGCCAAGUUUGAGGGCAAAAAUUUCCAACAGAGAAAAUACCACAAGAGGAGAGAAGAUUUGUUUCAUGGUUCACAGUUAUUCAAAACUUCUCUGCUUGGGUCUUUUCUAAGGUGCAUACAAAGCAAGAGAAAACAGCAGGAAACAGAAUCCUCAACAGUACCAUGUCCAAGAAAGAAAGAGAAGACCUUGAUUCAGCUGUAAAAACUUGCCUAAUGCACUGGACUUCUCUGGAAAGACUGAUUUCUAAGUUCCAGAAACAGUCUAGGGAUGACAAGGGGGUUAGCUCUCUGAAGACUGAUACUUGCAGUACCUCAGCAUUAGGUUGUCUGUGAGAAGACUGUGUCACAGUAAGGGCAGCAAUAUUUUAUAGUGAAUAUCCUUGAGAGAUUGGACUUUAUAGAACAACAAAGCCCAACAGUGUUAUAAGGUUCAGGGCUGUAGCCUUUGAAUCUAAACCCUCCUUAAGGUGUUUCCCCUCUGAUGCCUUGCCCCUUGCGUAUGAAAGAAGCAGCUGCUUAAGAUUGGAUUCAGUGCAGCCUCACAGAAUUGUCAUGAAAAUUUACCAACCUGAACUCAAACUCUACUCACCCCCGUUUCAAGACGAUGCUAAAGAUGGAAAACAAAAAUGUUCAAGGUUGAUGUAAUGUGAUAUGUGGGUUAUCCACAGUUGAUUAUUUGAUUGCUUUAGAAUGUUCACAGCCAAUCAGAAUAAUUAUUUAAGCAGCUUAAUAUAGCCACAUGCUGCUGCUACUUUUUCAGACUUGAACAAAGAAUUUAAAAGUGAUUUUUUGUUUUAUUUUGGGGUUUUGUUUUUUUUUAAAGAAAAACAACCCCUAAAAUACAGGCCAUAUAGGGAAACGUGUGAAUGAUCGAAUUGAGCCCUCCAAUAACCACGAUCUCCAGCUCCUGUUCCCAGCCCUCCCAGUAUACAUGCCAGCUUCUGUGGCUCCUAUCUUUCACCCAGUAUAGUCUGCAACAUUUCAAAAUUGACCUCUGAAUGUAGCAAAGGAAGGGAA